CAAGCGGUGAGCAUGUGGUUAAUUCGAUGCAACGCGAAGAACCUUACCUGGUCUUGACAUAGUAAGAACUUUCCAGAGAUGGAUUGGUGCCUUCGGGAACUUACAUACAGGUGCUGCAUGGCUGUCGUCAGCUCGUGUCGUGAGAUGUUGGGUUAAGUCCCGCAACGAGCGCAACCCUUUCCUUAUUGCCAGCGGGUUAAGCCGGGAACUUUAAGGAUACUGCCAGUGACAAACUGGAGGAAGGCGGGGACGACGUCAAGUCAUCAUGGCCCUUACGACCAGGGCUACACACGUGCUACAAUGGUCGGUACAAAGGGUUGCUAGUCCGUGAGGAGGAGCUAAUCCCAAAAAGCCGUUCUCAGUUCGGAUCGGAGUCUGCAACUCGACUCCGUGAAGUUGGAAUCGCUAGUAAUCGUGGAUCAGCAUGCCACGGUGAAUACGUUCCCGGGCCUU
rnacentral:rRNA from 1 species